rnacentral:lncRNA from 1 species
AGUCCAUGGUGGCCUGCUCUGCAGCUUAGCUAGGGUUAAGGCCGUACUGUUGAAACACAUAACGAGGUAGGCUGAUAAGAAACCGCCCCGUUAAUUGGAUGGAGAGGCGGCAGAGAAUCAUGCUGUUUACCCCACCCGACCUCCACUUUCUCAGAAUGCAUCAUCUUAACCUUACCUGCUGUUGCCGUUUGAGUGUUAUUUCCCAUAAAAAAACUAUUGCAGAUUUGCAGAACAAACACUUGAUACAUUUUCCCAUAUGUAGACAUU